rnacentral:tRNA from 1 species
GAUGGUAUAGCUCAGUGGUAGAGUGUGUGCUUAGCAUGCAUUAGGUCCUGGGUUCAAUUCCCACUAUCUCCA